rnacentral:rRNA from 1 species
CCUACGGGGGGCUGCAGUAGGGAAUCUUCCACAAUGGACGAAAGUCUGAUGGAGCAACGCCGCGUGGGGGAUGAAGGGUUUCGGCUCGUAAAACACCGUUGUAAGAGAAGAAUGACAUUGAGAGUAACUGUUCAGUGUGUGACGGUUUCUUACCAGAAAGGAACGGCUAAAUACGUGCCAGCAGCCGCGGUAAUCAGUAUGUUCCAAGCGUUAACCGGAUGUAUUGGGCGUAAAGCGAGCGAAGACGGUUGUUUAAGUCUGAAGUGAGAGCCCAUGGCUGAACUGUGGAAUUGCGUUGGAAACUGGAUAACUUGAGUGCAGUAGAGGAGAGUGGAACUCCAUGUGUAGCGGUGAAAUGCGUAGAUAUAUGGAAGCACACCAGUGGCGAAGGCGGCUCUCUGGACUGUAACUGACGUUGAGGCUCGAAAGUGUGGGUAGCAAACAGGAUUAGAUACCCCUGUAGUC